UACAGAGGGUGCGAGCGUUAUUCGGAAUUACUGGGCGUAAAGCGUGUGUAGACGGUCAAGUAAGUCGGGUGUGAAAGCCCCGGGCUCAACCUGGGAAUUGCAUUCGAGACUGCGUGGCUAGGGUGCGGAAGAGGGAAGCGGAAUUUCCGGUGUAGCGGUGAAAUGCGUAGAUAUCGGGAGGAACACCAGUGGCGAAAGCGGCUUCCUGGUCCAGCACCGACGUUCAGGCACGAAAGCGUGGGGAGCAAACAGG
rnacentral:rRNA from 1 species